rnacentral:rRNA from 1 species
UUCUACCACCAUACCACCUUGAAUAGGUUGGUCUCAUCUGAUUUCAGAAGCUACGUAAGGUCAUGCCCGCUUAGUAUUUGAAUGGAAGACCACCAAACAAUACCAGUGAUGUCUUGC